CGAUAUCUCUAUGGGAUUUAUUACUAGCCUGGUUUAACCGACGCUAAGGUGUUCGGUACGGAUUCAUUACGUAGGCAGCAGCCGAAGCGACAACAUCAAGAGCUGCGUCGUUCCCAGCACGCCAUCAUGGAAAAAAUAGAAAAAUAGAAGCGAGAGAGACACGGAUACAUCGGGCUAACGACAAUCCCAGAUUUACCUUUGACGGUCAUCAGAGCUGCCCAGUUCUUCGCAGUGCUGUUCAACUUUAAACUAGGAUGCGUUGUGCUGCAGUUGUGGAGGAGCAUCCAACAAGUCGUCAACAGGUCGCAGUUCCUCCAACGUCGUUGCCAGACUCCCCCUGUUCAUCGGGGGGAGUCCACUGACCCGUCCCCUGGGACAGCGCGGCCUCCCACCGCCCCCGGGGUCCCAGGGGACCCAGCCCCGAGGACAUGUCUUCGGGGAUGCGGUAUCCCCGCUGGAGGGGAUGCCAUAUCCCGAGGGACAUGUCCUCGGGACUGGUCUUCGGGGACGCAAGUUCCCCCAGGGACACGUCCCCGGAGAUGCGGUAUCCCCGCUGGAGGGGAUACCGUGUCUUUGGGGGCGUGGCCUUGGGGGAAUACGCGUCCUCGAAAAUCCCG
rnacentral:misc_RNA from 1 species